UGGUCUUUCAAGAGAGUAUAAUCUCUUUCCUGUUUUGCAGCGACCACUCUAUAAUGCCGCGACCAUGCUCAGCUGUGCUGCUAUAGCUGAAAUCAUUUCUGCAGCAACCUCUCGGAAAUACCUUGAAGAAGAAGCCUGGAUGGUUCCUUUGAACAUUCUCAGAGGGUCAGCCUCAUUGACAGCAUUACAGGAAGGCUUCGAGGUGUCUCCUUGUGACCAUGUUGUGAAUGAACCAUCCCCGGCAUCUCACCUUGCAGGUGAGGAGGCUGCAUCCUAACGAUGGCAGCUCAAAUGAUGACCAUAGACCCUUGUGAAGAUUGGCUCAUGGUUACAACGUCUCAAAUGAGUUUAUUUUCCUCCGUCCCUCCAAUGCCAAAGUUGACCAAGUCAAGCAAGUUUCCCCUCCACCUUCUUCUACAUGGCAGGUGAACUGCAUGCUCACCCUUACCUGAUGAGCGCUCUUUGUGGUCCCAGAUUGAUGUGGCGUUCUAUUAGAUUGAGGAUUUUUAUCCUGUUUCCCUAUUUUAGACAACCAUCAAAACAGAAGUCUGAGGCUUGGGCACCCUGCCUCACAUCUGUAAUCCUAGCACUUUGAGAAGCUGAAGGGGGAUGGACUGCUUGAGCCCAGGAGCUCAUGACCAGCCUGGGCAACACAGUGAAACCCCUCUACAAAAAAUACAAAAUUACAGGCAUCGUGGUGUGUACCUAUAAUCCCAGCACUUUAGGAAGCCAAGGUGGGUGGAUCACUUGAGCCCAGAAGUUCAAGAUCAGCCUGCACAACAUGGCAAAACAUGGCAAAACCUCAUCUCUACAAAAACUACAAAAAUUAGCUGAGUAUGGUGGUGUGCACCUACAGUCCCAGCUACUUGGGAGGCUGAGGUGGGAGGAUCACUUGGGCCUGAAGGUGGAGGCUGCAAUGAGUGAAAAUCAUACCACUGCACUCCAGCCUGGACAAUAGAGUGAGGAAGGAAGGAAGGAAGGAAGGAGGGAGGGAGGGAGAGAAAGAAAGAAAAAGAGGGAGAGAGGGAGGGAGGAAGGAAGGAAGGGAGAAGAGAGGGAGGUAGGGAGGGAUGGAGGAGAGAGAAAGAGAGAGAAAGAAAGAGAAAGAAAGGGGGGAGAGGGAGGGAGGAAGGAAGGAAAGGAAGGAUGGAGGGAGGGAGAAAGAAAAAAAAGAAAGGGAGAGAGGGAGGAAGGAAGGAAGGGAGAAGAGAGGGAGGGAGGGAUGGGGGAGAGAGAAAGAGAAAGAAAGGGGGGAGAGGGAGA
rnacentral:lncRNA from 1 species